rnacentral:piRNA from 1 species
UACCUCCACGAGGAUGGUGAUACAGUGC